GACGAACGCUGGCGGCGCGCCUAACACAUGCAAGUCGAACGGAGUCAAGAGGAGCUUGCUUUUCUUGACUUAGUGGCGAACGGGUGAGUAACGCGUGAGUAACCUGCCCUGGAGUGGGGGACAACAGUUGGAAACGACUGCUAAUACCGCAUAAGCCCACGCAUCCGCAUGGAUCUGCGGGAAAAGGAUUUAUUCGCUUCAGGAUGGACUCGCGUCCAAUUAGCUAGUUGGUGAGGUAACGGCCCACCAAGGCGACGAUUGGUAGCCGGACUGAGAGGUUGAACGGCCACAUUGGGACUGAGACACGGCCCAGACUCCUACGGGAGGCAGCAGUGGGGGAUAUUGCACAAGGGGGGAAACCCUGAUGCAGCGACGCCGCGUGGAGGAAGAAGGUUUUCGGAUUGUAAACUCCUGUCGUUAGGGACGAUAAUGACGGUACCUAACAAGAAAGCACCGGCUAACUACGUG
rnacentral:rRNA from 1 species